AAAAUAUACAUGUAAAUAAAACUCCUAUCCUACAUUCAUAUGUAUCACUUAUAUUUCUCAAUAGUUUGAUUGUAAUCUACAAUAUAACUUCAUUUACUCAUAAUUUGUUAUGCUUUAUGGUUGUAAUCUAUGCAUAUGUACAGAAGACACUAAAACAUACAUAUGAAUAUAAUCACAUAUACCAUGUGUAAUUGCAAUUUACAAAUACAAUCAAAUUUCAAUGUUACUAGCCUAGAUUAUGCAUGAAAACUUUAUAGAUAACAUGAUUUGUAAUUCAUAGACAUACAAUCAUAUUAUGAUGGAUAACUGGAUAUAAUAGACAAAAACACAAUUAUAGUAUAUGGUGAUGGAUAUCAGGAUACAUAACAAAUAAUACGUGACUAACUAGUCUAACUUAGACAUUUAGAAAUGCAUAUGUAGCAUGAAGGUAGCUGAAUUGGUAACAGUAAUGCGUUACCCUACUUUGAUAUACCAUGUUUGAGUUCGAAAUUAGGCGCACCAGAUUGGGAAAAUCCCUUACCAAUUCUGUACCUACUUCAAAUUCAACAAAUGUGGUGUGCGGUGGGAAUUAUUCACCAACCUAAUUAUCGAAUUACCAAAUUCAUUUCAAAUUGGUCGGUAAUCUGGUGUGCACUGAAUAUGCUCGCCCCUACUUGGCUGGGUGCCCAUUUAUACCAAAAGCUUUGGAGCACUUUCCUUCUCUAAAGAUAUCAAUGCUAGGGCUGACACUUUAUGGACAAUCAGUUAACAGUGAUCAUAAAUGUUGGCUGCAUGCAGAUAAAACUUUGCAUUUUUUAGAUAAUGAUGCCUACGCCUAGCCUUUCAUUGACCAUGCCAUGCUGUAACUGGAGGUCUCAAUUUUGACCUGUACACACUCACUAUAGUGUCUCGGUUGCUCUUUAAGUUGUGGCUGGUCUUUGUUGGAGACACACUAUCACUGUUUAAUCUAAUCAAAGAUGCUUAACCUACAUAAACUUUAGGGUUAAUUCCAAUAAACCCCCUUUAAAAUUACCAUUUUCUCACAUUGAUCUCCUGAAGGUUGAAUUGCAUCAGUCCACCGGUAUAAUAUUACAAUAUUUCCAAUUAUGUGCAAUCCUGUUGGACAGUCCACUUAAUGGCUGAUUGGGUCAUGUGUACUUCACAGGAUGCUGUCAAGUGGCUGAACCAUUCCCACAAUUAUCAGUAGCUGACAUGGUCAGAAAAUUAUAUAAAUGAAGUGACCAAUUUGUCGCUUUUUGUUAGCGAGAGACUAACCCGCCAUUAAAUUGCUUGGCAACCUAAAGAAUUGUAUCAGUUGCCGUCUUAUCAUUUCAAGCAUUAUGAUGGUGGGUUUGUCACUCGAGUAUUUUGAUGAAUUGAUUAAAUGAUUCACAUAUAUUGUUAAAAGUCAUGUCACCCUGAGGGGCCUUUUCUAUAAUAUAGAGAAAUUUUUAGAGAGUCUAGAUGGAGUCAACCCUAAUAAAUUUUAUCAUUAUUCAAGUCUGAUAUGUUGAGUAUUUUUUCUUGGAGUAGCAGUAGCACAUAAGGGCAGCACCGGACAAAGUUUAAAUCUCUGUUCAUAUUGUGUGUAAUCUGAAUAAGAAAUGGCAGAAACAAGUAAGGAGUAGUAACUACAUGACUAGAACAUGGUUGUUCUCAAAUUGUUCAGGAUCACAACAUAGUAACUGUGAUUGGACUACUAAUUCUUGUUAAUAUUUCCCAAAUUGGAGUGGUUUUCUUGAGAUUAAAAAACUUAGGCAAAAAAGAA